UACGGGGGGAGCAAGCGUUGUUCGGAUUUACUGGGCGUAAAGGGCGCGUAGGCGGCCACCGCAAGUCGGUUGUGAAAUCUCUGGGCUUAACCCAGAAAGGUCAACCGAUACUGCGGGGCUAGAGUGCAGAAGGGGCAACUGGAAUUCUCGGUGUAGCGGUGAAAUGCGUAGAUAUCGAGAGGAACACCUGCGGUGAAGACGGGUUGCUAGGCUGACACUGACGCUGAGGUGCGAAAGCGUGGGGAGCAAACAGG
rnacentral:rRNA from 1 species